GUGUCAGCAGCCGCGGUAAUACGUAGGGUGCGAGCGUUAAUCGGAAUUACUGGGCGUAAAGCGUGCGUAGGUGGUUCGUUGUGUCUGUGGUGAAAGCCCCGGGCUUAACCUGGGAAUGGCCAUGGAAACUGGCGAGCUGGAGUGUGGCAGAGGGGGGUGGAAUUCCGCGUGUAGCAGUGAAAUGCGUAGAGAUGCGGAGGAACACCGAUGGCGAAGGCAGCCCCCUGGGCUAACACUGACGCUGAGGCACGAAAGCGUGGGGAGCAAACAGGAUUAGAAACCCGCGUAGUCC
rnacentral:rRNA from 1 species